ensembl:lncRNA
AACGAUGAAACUCCGCGUGCGCGUGCUCGGGAAAUGCAGCGUAAAGUCAUUUCUGCAGGUAAACUCUUGAGUCUGACUCUGCGCAUCUUCGCCAAAGUUUAUCUUCAAUUAAUCCAUCGGGUCACAGGGAAACCUGGAGCCUAUCCCAGGGAGCAUCGGGCACAAGGCGGGGUACACCCUGGACAGGGUGCCAGUCCAUCACAGGCACAAUCACAGGCACAAUCACAUACACAUUCACAACACUUGUCUUUGGACUGGCGGAGGAAACCGGAGUACCCAGAGGAAACCCCCGCAGCACGGGGAUAACAUGCAAACUCCACACACAGGGCCAUGGUGGGAAUCGAACCCCCAACCCUGGAGGUGUGAGCGUAGGUUGGCAGUUUGUCUUUCCCAUGUUGCAGUUGCUAUUCUUACAAUACCGUGGCUCAGAUUCCAGUAGAAGCCAAUUGCUCAUUCAGUCUGGUCCACACUAAAUCCCAC